CUGUGCUAGGCGGGGAGCCAGCGGUGCCCUGUACCUACAAUCCGCUAUAGUGGGGCUGAACGCCGCCUUAGGUAUAGAUCGUGGAAGGCAGUUGUCGUUAAGUAAUGUUGAUACCAGGGUCUUGUGCAACGUUAUCCUAUGAACCGUGUCAGGGCUUGACCGCAGCAGCACUAAGUAGAUCAUAAUGUGUGCCACAGGGGAGCUUUGGCGGAGUCGGCUGACGGCGGGACGCUUCGGCGGCUUAUAUCGACGGCGGAUGCACAG
rnacentral:SRP_RNA from 1 species